UCCGCGGUUCUGAAACCAAGCGCCCUCGUCGUUUACAGGGCGCUGUCCGGGGUGCUGAACCACCCGACACAGCGCGAGAUCAAGGGGCUGGUGGGGAUUUCGCUGUCCGUGGUUCUGAACCACAGAGCAGCGCGCGAGGAACCGAAACGUUGGCUGCCUGCGCUGUCCGCGGUGCUGACUCAUGGCGCCGGGAAUUGCUCCUAACCUCAACUGCAAGACCUGACUGUGGUGCUGAUUUUAUACAGUGUAACAGAGAGGUUUCCUUAUCCUCCCAUACAGAAACCUUAAGUAACUACCUGUAUAGUAAAAACCCUUGCUGUUGCUUGGAAACAGCUCACUGGGGACUGUGGAGAGCAUGGGACAAGAGCUAAUUAAGACAAAAAUUGCAGAAUCACUUUAAAGAGGCACCUUUAGUUCUCAGGACAGUAGGGCCUUGCUACACCCUCCAUAAGAUUUAUUAACAGCUUUUCCAAAACAUCCUUAGAGGGCAUGCAGAAAAAGAAACAGAAGGAAAGACCUGAACCAGGUUGAGGCUGUUGAUUAUCUUAAGUGUAAUGGGGUGGAAAGUGCCCCCAUGAGUUCUUAGGGAUUUUUGUUUUGUUUUGUUUUACGUUGUUGGGUGGGAGGGUCACAAGAAAGGUGUGGUUUCUGGUAGCUAUGGAAAUGGCUCAAUAAGUAAAGCGCUCACCAUGCAAGUGUGAGGACUGUUAUUCAGAUUUCCCGCACCCAUGUGAAUGCCAAGUGAGCAUGGAAGCCUGCCUGAAUUCCCAGUGCUGUGGGAAGCAGAGAGAGGAAUUUCCCCAAAGCAAGCAGACUAGCCAGACUCUGCAAAAUGGCUUUUUAAGGACAAGUCACUGGAAUGAAAUCCACCCACAAGCUGAAAACUGAUGAGUGGAUGACUACAUGCCUGAAUAAACAAGGAUUUGGUCACCAGGAAUGUCCCUGAGGAGUGGUCCAGCAGCAAAGAUGAGGAAUUGGAAGGAUCGAAGGGCCAAACAGAACUUGCUCAGAGCUACUCCUCGGGCUUAGAAUCUUCUCCCUCUCAUUUCUUCUCCAACCAAAUUUCCAAUGUGCAUGGCUUGUCCUAACAUCUUCUGCAUGGCAACCAG